rnacentral:misc_RNA from 1 species
CAUUAGAAUUUACAAAAGGAAUUUCCGUACUAAGUGCCUACUUUGUGUACUUUUCUACACCGGCCUUUGUAAAUGCAACCUUUUGUGUCAAACCGUAGCUGUCAAUAAUUAUCUAACCUUGUAUUAUUGAAUCAUGUUCCAUUCCUAGUGUAAAUGUGAGCUUUUGAAAAUGGCUGCUGAAAUAAAACCAGCCCAACGGAACGGCCAUGAACGAUUUAGUUCCAUAAGGAAGUUAGAGUUGGUUAAUAAAUUGGAGGGAAGUUGUGAUGAUAUUAAUGCGGCAAUUUUCAUCCCUGGCGAGAAUGGUGUGAUAAGUGUAUCCGAUGACAAAACCAUACGCGUGUGGCUGAAGAGGGACUCUGGUCAAUACUGGCCCAGCAUAUGUCAAUAUAUGCCCUCAGGUUGUUCUUGCAUCUGUUAUAAUGAAAAUGCAAGGCAAUUAUAUGUUGGCCAGGACAAUGGCACAGUUACGCAGUACUUUUUUUCCGAUGACUGCAACAGGCUCUCAUUUGUUCGAGAUUUUUUAGCACAUCAAGGUCGAGUAAUGGGAAUUGUAGUUGCCAACACGCUUCAAUGGGUGCUUUCAUGUGGAAAGGACAAACUCUUCGCUUUUUAUUCAACGGAAACUGGGAACCGAUUGGGUAGUUUUAGCUUUGAGACACCUUGUACUUCAUUACAAUUUGAUACUAUGGCAAAAUAUGCUUUUGUGGGUGACAAUAGCGGACUAAUUACAAUGUUAAGGUGUGACACGCCAAAUGUUCAAUUUGUCAACACAUUCAAAGGACAUACAACAAGCAUUCGAUGUUUAAAAUGGGUCGAAGAACAUCAGUUGCUUUUUAGCGGAUCUUGUGAUCAAACGGUUUUUGUUUGGGAUGUUGGUGGUAAACGUGGCACUAUCUAUGAGUUGCAGGGGCACAAUAAUAAGGUUUCUUCGCUUGCUUAUGCCAAUAGCACCCAACAGCUGUUGAGUGGCGGAGAAGACUCUGUUGUUGUCUUGUGGAAGAUGAACGCCAUGCGAAAAGAAGUCCCUGGAUGGGUGGAUAAUAGCAGUUGCCAGCUAUGUCAACGUCCUUUUUUUUGGAAUUUCCGUGCAAUGGUGGACCAAAAACAAAUUGGUAAUUAUUCCAUUUCUUCCUGCAGGAAUAAGACAGCACCAUUGCAGGAAUUGUGGAAGAGCUGUGUGCGAUAAUUGCUCAGCAAACCGCAUCAACAUACCCAUAAUGGGAUUUGAAUUUGAUGUACGCUGUUGUGAUCCUUGCUAUAAGCAACUUCAAACCGUGGAACGUCCCACUUUGGCUUCUUUCCAUGAUGCUAAGCACUCGAUCGUGAACAUGGACCUAGAUGAAA